AAAGAUCUGCAGGGAGGCAAAACAACUCCAAAGAUAUCACGAAAUCUCUGAGUGAUGGAUCAACAAAUCAACCCAACCAGGGCACAGAAAGUCACAACAAGCAAGAAACUGCCACAAAGACCAAUCGGUUGGGGAAAAAGAGAAAUCCCGAGAUAUCUGCGGGGGAUCCUCAGUAUCAGAAAUUUAUUGCACAAGCGAGAACUGCUAUGGAAGCAACUCCACAUAACUCCACUGGGGAACAACCCACUGAGGGAGAACGGAUCAUCCAUGUA
rnacentral:lncRNA from 1 species